rnacentral:rRNA from 1 species
UACAGGCUUAACACAUGCAAGUCGAGGGGAAACGACAUCGAAAGCUUGCUUUUGAUGGGCGUCGACCGGCGCACGGGUGAGUAACGCGUAUCCAACCUGCCCACCACUUGGGGAUAACCUUGCGAAAGUAAGACUAAUACCCAAUGACGUCUCUAGAAGACAUCUGAAAGAGAUUAAAGAUUUAUCGGUGAUGGAUGGGGAUGCGUCUGAUUAGCUUGUUGGCGGGGUAACGGCCCACCAAGGCGACGAUCAGUAGGGGUUCUGAGAGGAAGGUCCCCCACAUUGGAACUGAGACACGGUCCAAGCUCCUACGGGAGGCAGCAGUGAGGAAUAUUGGUCAAUGGACGAGAGUCUGAACCAGCCAAGUAGCGUGCAGGAUGACGGCCCUAUGGGUUGUAAACUGCUUUUAUAAGGGAAUAAAGUGAGUCUCAUGAGACUUUUUGCAUGUACCUUAUGAAUAAGGACCGGCUAAUUCCGUGCCAGCAGCCGCGGUAAUACGGAAGGUCCGGGCGUUAUCCGGAUUUAUUGGGUUUAAAGGGAGCGUAGGCCGGAGAUUAAGCGUGUUGUGAAAUGUAGACGCUCAACGUCUGCACUGCAGCGCGAACUGGUUUCCUUGAGUACGCACAAAGUGGGCGGAAUUCGUGGUGUAGCGGUGAAAUGCUUAGAUAUCACGAAGAACUCCGAUUGCGAAGGCAGCUCACUGGAGCGCAACUGACGCUGAAGCUCGAAAGUGCGGGUAUCGAACAGGAUUAGAUACCCUGGUAGUCCGCACGGUAAACGAUGGAUGCCCGCUGUUGGUCUGAAUAGGUCAGCGGCCAAGCGAAAGCAUUAAGCAUCCCACCUGGGGAGUACGCCGGCAACGGUGAAACUCAAAGGAAUUGACGGGGGCCCGCACAAGCGGAGGAACAUGUGGUUUAAUUCGAUGAUACGCGAGGAACCUUACCCGGGCUUGAAUUGCAGAGGAAGGACUUGGAGACAAUGACGCCCUUCGGGGCCUCUGUGAAGGUGCUGCAUGGUUGUCGUCAGCUCGUGCCGUGAGGUGUCGGCUUAAGUGCCAUAACGAGCGCAACCCCUCUCCUUAGUUGCCAUCAGGUCAAGCUGGGCACUCUGGGGACACUGCCACCGUAAGGUGUGAGGAAGGUGGGGAUGA